GCCCUCUUAGCUCAGUCGGAUAGAGCAGCCGCCUCCUAAGCGGCAGGUCGCAGGUUCAAAUCCUGCAGAGGGCGCCA
rnacentral:tRNA from 1 species